AUCUGCGGCCAUACUAUUCUGAACGUGCCCAAUCUCGUCUGAUCUUGGAAGCUAAGCAGGGUUGGGCCUGGUUAGUACUUUGAUGGGAGACUGCCUGGGAAUACCGGGUGCUGUAGGCU
rnacentral:rRNA from 1 species